CCCCUUAGUGUUGGCUGUGGGAAGGGAGAAGUGAAGUCAGUCACCUGGUGGUGAAGGCCAGUAAAACAGCAAAGCGGGAGGAAAAUUGCUGUCUCUCUCUUCUCUCCCUCUUUUCUCUCUGUGGGAGCCACCUCCUAUUCUUCCAACUCUUUUAGCAUAACCUUCAAAGGAGAACGGUCCCUUCAGACUUUGUUAACGUCUUUCCCCCACUGAGAGAAUACCUCUUAGCUACAAGACAUUUUUUUUUUUUUUAAGUCUAUGCAGGACUUCGGGGAUUCGGUUAUCUUGCCAGGGAAAUUGAUGAUUGCUAAUGUCUGGGACUCACAGCGUGCUAAAUUAGCUAGCAGAGUAUGCCUGACGGAGGAAGGCUUUUAUCACAUACUCUUCUCUCCAGUUUCAACACAUUUGCUUGAAUUUUGCCGCAUGAUGCUGUCCAGGGAAGCAGCUUUUUUUCUUGGGAUGCAGCAACUCGCUGGUUUCUAAGCUUAUUGCAGAAGAAGAAAUAAUCUGAAAUAGAGUGGAAUUUUUUUUUUAACCUCCUCUGCCUGACUCGACUGAGCCGUGUUGGACCGCGGCGGCGAGACCACGGAGAAUGAGACUGAGAGAAGCUGCCAGGGCUUGGAGGAGGAUAAAGCUGAGUUUCAGCUGGAAACUAAAAGACUAGAUCGGUUCGGGGAGCAACUUGGCCGGUUCCUCUCCACUUCCUUUAGUUUCGCUCCAUGGAUAGAUCCACGGACCUGGACAUCCAGGAGCUCAAGAAAUGGAAACCAAAGAUUGAGGAUGAUAAAUUGAUUUGUCUAAGUUAUUUAACCUCUGAAAAUCUCAUUUUCUUUAUCAAAGUGAAGAUAAUUGAUUGCAAAGAUCUCCAGGGAACAUUUUGAGGAUAAAAUUAGAAGUGCUUGGAAAGCAUCAUGAACAUCCGCCAUGAACGCUAAUCACGGGAAGGAGGUCUGCAUGUUGCUUUUGAAGACCACAGGAAGGCAACCAAGAAGAGCACAGAGCAGAAGAUAAAUACUCACAUGCCAUCCAGAACUUGCAUCCUUCUUAACAGAGAAUGGCUUAGCAGAGACAAGCCAUGUCAGCCUAGAAAUUUGUGUGCUUGUGACCAUAAGAUUGUUUUGUGACUCUUUCACUGAUCAGUGACUUCAAAAAACUGAAACAGAGCAAUCAUAAGGUUCAAGGACAGUGAAACAUCCAGAGUUUCACAUACAAAAUUAAAUUUCAUGAAUAGAAACAUUAUAACAGAAAAUAAUCAUGAUACUGCUGAAUCAUUAGAUCUGCUUACACAUGAGCAUAAUAUCUGAAUAAAGGCCAUACUAGGUAAAAAGGAUACAAAGGAGAUGAUUAUAAAGAGCCUAAUUUACCCAUUUUAUUUUAAUGGGGAAAAUUUAGACUGGAUAAAUUAUAUGCAAAAAAAUUAGUAACGCUCUUUUUUGCUAAAUAAAAAUGGUUGAUUAUAUGUUAAUUGUUGCCUAGAAAGUACCAAGUUAUUAUUUUUUAGCAUUUUUAACAGAGCAGAUCAAUAUAUUUGUACUUAGCUGGACAAAGGUGUACAGUUGAUAAGAAUGGUUAUACUAUACAGUUUCCUUUCCCUUAUAGCAUACUUGAAAAUUGUCACUGACAUCUAUGAAUCUAAUUUUAUUUUUCUGGUGUUUAGAUUUGUCCUUCUACUUAUAAUGGCAGAAGUUUUAUCUUAUUAGAUUAGUCCAUACACUAUAGCUAUGAGAAUGUUCUCAUUCUCAAACACUAAUUUGUAUGUGAAACUAAAUCAGAUGAAUAAAUAAGCUUAAAACAGACUGUGAAAUCCAGCGCUAUGAUGUCCAGUGUAGAAAAAAUAUGACAGAACGUUAAGUAGUGUCUGAGUAGUAAUCUCAUCUAUAAUGAUCUUCAAAGUCAGCUUUUCAAAGUAAGGUCAUUUUCAUUAAUGACAGAAAGUCAACUGAGCAAUAAUGAAGGAACUGUUGCUUUAUUCAAUUAGAGCACGCUUAAUGGUUCUUUAGGUCAUAUUGACUUGAUAAGAAGGUACAAAUGAGCAACCCCGUGGAAACAAAGGUCUUCUCAGGAAUAAUAGAUGCAAAUUUUAGACAAAUAAAUAUUGAAACCUAAUUUCUACUUCCAGCUCACCCUGCUGUGACUCUGCACUGAACAUUUACAUACUCUGUGACAUGUGUCCGGAAGUAUGAUAGGAAUAGACAUUUCUCUUUGCUUCAGUAAUGAAUUUGGUUAUUUAUAUAAUUCAGGAAUUUGGAAAUUACCUUCUGUUACCUUCCCCUUCCUCUAUAUGGAUCCAUCCUUUCUAAUUUGUUUGAAUUUGUUCUGCAUUGUCUAUGUAUAAACAGAUGUUAAUGGGUUAAGAUAUAGGUAAUGAACACCUAAUGAAUGUUAAACACUGUU